rnacentral:rRNA from 1 species
UACAGAGGGGGCUAGCGUUAUUCGGAAUUAUUGGGCGUAAAGGGCGCGUAGGCGGCCAUGCGUGUCUUCCGUGAAAUCCCUCGGCUUAACUGAGGACGUGCGGAAGAAACUGCAAGGCUCGAGUCCGGGAGAGGGGGGUGGAAUUCCCAGUGUAGCGGUGAAAUGCGUAGAUAUUGGGAGGAACACCGGUGGCGAAGGCGGCCCCCUGGACCGGUACUGACGCUGAGAGACGAAAGCUAGGGGAGCGAAUGGG